UAGGGAAUCUUCGGCAAUGGACGAAAGUCCGACCGAGCAACGCCGCGUGAGUGAAGAAGGGUCUCGGAUCGUAAAACUCUGUUGUUAGAGAAGAACAAGGACGUUAGUAACUGAACGUCCCCUGACGGUAUCUAACCAGAAAGCCACGGCUAACUACGUGCCAGCAGCCGCGGUAAUACGUAGGUGGCAAGCGUCGUCCGGAUUUAUUGGGCGUAAAGCGAGCGCAGGCGGUUUCUUAAGUCUGAUGUGAAACCCCCCGGCUCAACCGGGGAGGGUCAUUGGAAACUGGGACACUUGAGUGCAGAAGAGGAGGGUGGAAUUCCAUGUGUGGGGGUGAAAUGCGUAGAUAUAUGAGGAAACACCAGUGGCGAAGGCGGCUCUCUGAUCUGUAACUGCCGCUGAGGCUCGAAAGCGUGGGGAGCAAACAGG
rnacentral:rRNA from 1 species